GUGAUUUAAAUAAAACAAAAUAUGUUUGAAGCUGUGUCAUGUUUCCAUUCAGUUACUAUCAUGCAACAGACAAGAAGUUUUCUUUUUUAUCUACUUCUUCUCAUAUCCUUCAAGGGUAUCCGGGACUGAAGAUUCAGUUGAGGGUGAAGAAGAAGAAGAAGAAGAAGGAGAAGAAGGAGAAGAAG